AGGAAGAAGGUUCUGCGUCCAAAAUGCAAGGAAGAGCUUAGCAAUCCGAGGCCAGGCGCAUCAGGCACAGGUGGAUGUGGCACAUGGAACAGCUUUAUUUAACAGUGGAACUGUGAUGGCUACGAUGGGGGAAACGGAGGCUCAGAGAGGUGCCAUGCUUGCCCAAAGCCUUGCCCAGCUAUUCAGUACUGAGUCACUUGCUCUCGGAGAAAAUGCCUUGCCCGGAGCUGGUCUGGGACUGCGUGUCACUCUGAGCAGGUGGCACUGGCCUGACACAAAGCAAAGCAGCCCCACAGGCAUGGAUUUCCUCAGAAGGUAAUGCUAUCAAUCAGCAAGUAUUUUACUGCCCAGCGACAAAAGGAAUGUUGACUCACCAAGUUGCAGCCACACGGCUGGAAGCUGAGACAUUGCCUCCAACCUGGCUCAUGGGUUGUUAGCACGUUGGCCUGGCAGCAUGGGCUGCAGGGCACCCACCUGCCCCCACAUCUCCUGCUCUGGGAUUCCAGCCCCUCCCACCCCAGCCACAGACACAAAGAAGGCCAUUACUGAUGUCUCCCCCACACCUCUCCCACCGCAUAGGCUGCCUGGGGACACCAGGCCCUCUGGUGACCAGGGUGGUGGGGAAGGACAGGGUACGAAUCAAGAAUCCACAUCGCUGUGGCCUGGCUGCCUGCUGGGGGCCCUCGAUUAUCCGAGUGCAAGGUGCCAUUGAAGGAAGGCUGGUGAGCCUCCCGGCCAGCAGGGCUCUGCCUGCAGUAGACAGUCCUUGCCAGCAGUGACAUCCCGAAGGACCAUGCUGGGGAUGCUGGUCAGGUGGAAACAUCCUGUCAACUUAGAGAAACUGGUGAUUUGCACACACUCUUUACCCAUCAUUCUCCUCAACAUAAGUGGACUGACUGAUGGUUCGGCCAGUUUUCUUCUACUGACCACAGGUCAGAGCGUGCCCAUCCAGAACGCACCCCCCAACCCCAGGGAUGGUCGGGGGUGUACAGUAACAGCGCGGCAGGCACACAGUGGCGGCUCGCUCCCUCCAGGUGCAGCAGGGGCUGGGGGACCAUGCGCCAUGGACCAGUCUCCCAGCAUCGGCUCUGACCCUGCUCUUGUUCUCACAUCCAGAAAUGGAGCCAAGGAGCAGGACCCAGCUGUGACCAGCAUCUUCACUCCAUUACGAUUUUGUUAAAGCCUAAAUCACUUGGAAACCUUGAGGCAAUACGUCUCCCAUGGGAUCCAGACCCAGCAAUGGGCAGUGGCUUCACUGAGAAAAGCCCUCUGAGGGCGAAGGACCUGCCCGGGUGUUGCAUGUGGGGACUCUGAGAGCCUUCUGUCCACUGGGGAGGGAGGACCCUGGAAUCACCCUCCCAGCAGGAACAGGGGACAGAUGGCACGCUUGACCCAUAAAGGAAUACAAACAGGCUUACAGACACCAGCCAGGGCGGGGAGGCAGGCCGGGGCCAGCAAAGCUGGAUGCACCCCUUUUCUGCAGCCCCUCUGGCUGAAGGGUCAGGCCAGGGGGUGAGAGUGGAGCCCAGGGCCGGCAGAGCUAGAAGAGAAGGAAAGUAUUUCUCUGUGGAAAUCCUGUCUCAGACAAGCCUCCCACAGACAGAGUGAGCAGGGGAGGUAAUGCCUCAGCCUUUAAAAAGCAUCUCAUCUCAGUUUUACUACAGAAGAGAAGAGCUUAUCUCCUUUCAGAGAAACAAAUUUUAUCAAAGUUUGUCCCAGGUUCUUCGUAACUCACUACAAUGCUCUCACAUUUCCUUCCAACACUGAACUAAGAUAAGUAAGGUUCUCAUUGAAUCAAACGACUCUAACUUGUAACCAAAAGCUGCUCAAAUUAGAGUUCUAAGGAGUUCCCAUCGUGGUGCAGCAGAAAUGAAUCUGACUAGGAACCAAGAGGUGGUGGGUUCAAUCCCUGGCCUUGCUCAAUGGGUUAAGGAUCCGGCGUUGCUGUGAGCUGUGGUGCAGGUUGAAGAUGCGGCUUGGAUCCCGCAUUGCUGUGGCUGUGGCAUAGGCUGGCAGCUAUAGCUCCGAUUAGACCCCUAGCCUAGGAACCUCCAUUUGCCACGGGUGCAGCCCUGAAAAGACAAAAACAAACAAACAAACAACCAAAAAAAUUAGAAUUCUAAGAAUAGCAUAAGUGGAGUUACCUGGUGGUUCAGUGGGUUGGGGAUCCAGCGUUGUCACUGCUAUGGCUCAGGUUCCAUUCCCGGCCUGAGGAAUUUCUCCAUGCCAUGGGCACAGUCAGAAAAAAAAAAAGAAAGAAAGAAAAAAAAAAAGAACAUAAGUAUGUGUACCGUGCUGUCUGCCUUUAGGAAAUACAUUCCCAAAUGGUAAUAUGGUCUGUUUAGAUACGUGUAAAUGAGCUGGUUGCCAAGAAACUCACCCAGUAAAUAUAAAUCACAAUUAAAUAAA